UAGAGUUUUCAAAACUCCCAAACCCAUGUGAACUUACCUAUGUUGCCUCGGUGGGAGCCUACCCUGUACCUACCCUAUAAGGUGGUUACCCGGGAACGCCCCACCGGUGGACUUUUUAACUCUUGUUAUUAUAAGUAAUCUGAGAGUCUUAUUUUAAAUAAGUCA
rnacentral:misc_RNA from 1 species